rnacentral:misc_RNA from 1 species
CAGAAUUUGGGGGUUUUCAAGAACAAAUGGCAGUUGGUAAAAAGGAAGAAAAUAUGGCAGUAGAGAUAGUGAAGCCUCGAAUUGAUAAAAGGGAUUACAGAAGAAUUGUUCUUCAAAAUAAUCUUGAAAUUCUUCUGAUCAGUGACCCAGAAACUGAUAAAUGUGCAGCUUCAAUGAAUGUGUGUGUUGGUGCUUUUAGUGAUCCUGAGGGACUUGAAGGCCUUGCCCAUUUUCUUGAACAUAUGCUGUUUUAUGCAAGUGAGAAGUAUCCUGUGGAGGAUAGUUAUUCAAAGUACAUAACAGAGAAUGGAGGUAGUACAAAUGCUUUUACAUCUUCUGAGGACACCAACUACUAUUUUGAAGUAAAUGCUGACGGUUUCGAAGAAGCAUUGGACAGAUUUGCCCAGUUCUUUAUCAAACCAUUGAUGUCAGCAGAUGCUACAACUCGAGAAAUUAAAGCUGUUGAUUCUGAACACCAGAAGAAUCUACUCUCUGAUCCUUGGAGAAUGAACCAGCUUCAAAAACAUUUAAGCGCGGAAAAUCAUCCAUACCAUAAAUUCAGCACAGGCAGCUGGGAUACAUUAGAGGUCAGACCAAAAGAAAGAGGCAUAGAUACAAGACAGGAGCUUCUCAAAUUUUAUUCAGAAAAUUAUUCAGCCAAUCUCAUGCACUUGGUCGUCUAUUCGAAAGAUAGUCUUGAUAAAGUUGAGCAGUUGGUGCGGGGUAAAUUCCAGGACAUCCGGAACAUAGAUCGUAAUCAAAUCCAUUUUACUGGUCAGCCUUGCAUCAUGGAACAUCUCCAGAUUCUUGUUCGAGCUGUUCCAAUAAAACAAGGUCACAAGCUGAAAAUCAUAUGGCCUAUAACCCCAGGCAUACAUCACUACAAGGAAGGGCCUUGUAGGUACCUGGGCCACUUGAUUGGCCAUGAAGGAGAAGGAUCAUUGUUUUAUGUCUUGAAAAAGUUGGGAUGGGCUACAAGUUUAUCUGCUGGUGAAUCAGACUGGACUAACGAGUUCUCUUUCUUUAAAGUGGCGAUUGAUUUGACUGAUGCUGGUCAAGAUCAUUUUGAAGACAUUAUGGGUCUCCUAUUCAAAUAUAUUCAUCUUCUACAACAAGCUGGUGCGUCCAAAUGGAUAUUUGAAGAGCUCUCAGCUAUUUGUGAGACUGCCUUCCAUUAUCAAGACAAGAUUCGACCAAGUGAUUAUGUGGUUAAUGUUGCAAUGAAUAUGCAGCACUAUCCUCCAGAAGAUUGGUUGGUGGCAUCCUCGUUGCCUUCAAAGUUUAAUCCUAGCAUUAUUCAGUCAUUCUUGAAUGAACUCAACCCAGACAAUGUCAGAAUCUUCUGGGAGUCAACAAAGUUUGAGGGUAAUACUAGCAUGACUGAGCCAUGGUAUGGAACUGCAUAUUCUAUAGAGAAAGUUGGUGGUGACAGUAUCAAGCAAUGGAUGGAGCAUGCUCCCAGUGAAGAGCUGCAUCUCCCUGCUCCCAAUGUGUUCAUACCAACUGAUUUAUCACUUAAGCCCGUCUUCGAGAAGACAAAAGUUCCCAUACUGCUGCGGAAGUCACCUUAUUCAAGGUUAUGGUAUAAGCCCGAUACAGCAUUUUCAUCUCCAAAAGCCUAUGUUAUGAUCGAUUUCAGUUGCCCAUACUGUGGACAUUCUCCAGAAGCUGAGGUUCUUACUGAGAUAUUUACACGUCUAUUGAUGGAUUACUUGAAUGAAUAUGCUUAUAAUGCACAAGUUGCUGGUCUUUAUUAUGAUAUAAGCAAAACAAACAGUGGUUUUCAGUUGACAUUGUUUGGAUAUAAUGACAAGUUGAGAGUCUUACUGGAAGCAGUCAUUGAAAAAGUUGCGAAAUUUGAAGUAAAACCAGACAGAUUCUCUGUGGUCAAGGAAUUGGUGACAAAGCAAUAUCAGAAUUUCAAGUUCCAACAGCCAUAUCAACAGGUUAUGUAUUACUGCUCAUUACUGCUAAAAGACAACAUAUGGCCUUGGAAUGAAGAACUUGAAGUGCUUCCACAUCUUAAAGUUGAUGAUCUGGUUAAGUUCUAUCCGCUUUUGAUGGCUAGGUCCUUUAUGGAGUGCUAUGUAGCAGGAAAUGUUGAACAAGCUGAAGCAGAGUCCAUGAUACAGCUUAUUGAAGAUGUGUUCUUCAAGGGUCCACAGUCAAUAUCAAAGCCUCUAUUUGCAUCUCAGCAUCUGACAAACAGAGUGGUCAAUCUUGAAAGAGGUGUAAAUUAUGUCUACGCUGCAGAGGGACUAAAUCCAAGCGAUGAAAAUUCAGCUCUUGUUCAUUAUAUUCAGGUGCAUCAGGAUGACUUUAUGCUGAAUGUAAAACUUCAGCUUUUUGCUCUCAUAGCAAAGCAGCCAGCCUUCCACCAGCUUAGAUCAGUCGAGCAACUUGGUUAUAUCACUGUGCUCAUGCAGAGGAGCGACUCUGGUGUUCACGGGGUGCAGUUUAUCGUUCAGUCAACUGCAAAGGAUCCCAAAUACAUUGACACAAGAGUGGAGUUAUUUAUGAAGAUGUUUGAGAGCAAGCUUUAUGAGAUGACUAGUGAUGAAUUCAAGAAUAAUGUCAAUGCACUUAUUGAUAUGAAGCUUGAGAAACACAAGAAUUUACGGGAGGAAUCUCGGUUUUACUGGAGGGAGAUCUCAGAUGGGACCCUCAAGUUUGAUAGACGAGACCGUGAGAUUGUCGCGUUAAAGCAACUGACUCAAAAGGAGCUGACAGAUUUCUUCGAUGAAUAUAUUAAAGUCGGUGUUCCUCGGAAGAAGGCCUUAAGUGUCAGAGUCUAUGGAAGCUCACAUUCUUCUCAAUUCCAAGCACAUAAGAAUGAGCAGAUGGAACCAAAUGCAGUUCAGAUAGAAGAAAUAUUUAGCUUUCGACGAUCUCGGCCUCUUUAUAGUUCAUUCAAAGGAGGCUUUGGUCAUGUGAGAUUGUAAGAGGUCGCAUAGCAGCUCGAGAAGCCCCCCAAUGCAGUUGAUAUGUUGCGUUAGCGAGUCCAUUACAGAAGCAGUUGAUCUGCAAGAUACCUCUCUCGUAUUCAGUUGUGUCAAUUAGUCAGUUGUACGAGGGCUCGUGGUAGGCGUGUGAGUUUAAUUGCUCAACUGAUUUGAUGAUGUACUGCUUAGAGAUUUGGAAGAAGUGAAUGUAUACUGUGACACCAAUUUCUGUUUUGAUUGCUGAAUAUAAUUGAUCAGAAGACAAGAAGUGACAUGAAUUAGACCUGAAAGGAAAAUUAUUCAUUCAUGGUGUUGAUGGGAUAAAU